AUGAAGAGGCUCUCAAGGGAGGGGCAAGGGAAAGAGACUGGGCAGGGUGGGUGCAGCUGGCAGUGAGAGACUCUGCCUUUUCAACAUGGAUGGCUCCUCCCGCUGCCGCUGCUGCUCCAGGAGACAGCAUUACAGAGCAUCAGUUAGGUGCAGAGACUGGGCAGUGCACCCGUGUGCAAAGACAGGAGACACGAAUCUUCCCUGAAGGAGUGACAGUCUAGGGAGGAAGGCAGACUGCAGGUUCCCAUGCAGGAAUGAAAGACAUGGAAGGGAAGAGGGGGGCCAGCUCCCUGAGUCCUGUGUCCACCAGCUGCUGCUAAAUACCUCUGAGAAACUCUGCUUCUAUCUAAGGGGACCUACUUCUCUCGGGAAUCUCAAUACUUGGAACAAGAACCUCCUGGAUGGACCCUUUGGCAAAAUGAAUUGGACCAACUGUAGGUUCCAGGACUGGAGAGCCAGCAAUGCCUCCGUGGACAAUCUCACCCAAUUACUCUGCUCAGAGAACAUCACCACCCUGAAGCCAGAGACUAACACUGCAGGACUCAGCAGGACUAUUUAAGAAACAACUGAGGCAUCAGACCAACUUUCCCCACAAGUCCUCGGUAAGGAACUAGUCCAGUCGCACGUAGAGGAUCUUUCCUGCCAUGCUGAUGCCAUAUAUUCCAACGUGAUCAACCUGGCCCCCCAGAAGGAGGACGACUUUGCUGUCUAUGCCAACAUGCCCCCUUUUCAUCACCCCAGGAGGACAUUGCCAGACCAAGUGGAAUAUGUCUCCAUUGUAUUCCACUGAUGGGAAGCUAAUGAGAUGCUCAGAGUAGGGGUCAGACCUGGCCCCAGCUGAAUCUUGGCAUACCCUUUGCUUUAGAUUUAUGUGUGUGUUUAAAAAAAAAAUACAUAGGCCAGGCGCGGUGGCUCACACCUGUAUCCCAGCACUUUGGGAGGCUGAGGCAGGCAGAUCACCAGGUCAAGAGAUCAAGACCAUCCUGGCCAACAUGGUGAAACCCCGUCUCUACUAAAGAUACAAAAAUUAGCCAGGUGUGGUGGUGCAUGCCUGUAAUCCCAGCUACUUGGAAGGCUGAGGCAGGAGAAUCACUUGAACCCAGGGGGCGGAAGUUGCAGUGAGCCAAGAUCACACCGCUGCACUCCAGCCUGGCGACAGAGUGAGACUCCAUCUCUAAAAAAAGUAAAUAAAUAAAAAUAAAACAUAAAACAUAUUCUGAUGGAGGUGGAUGGCUAGACAUUUCUUCUGAUUUAUUAGAAUCAAAGUACAGUUCUGAUAGAAAGGAAUGACAUACAAGAAACACAGGACAUGCUUGUCCAGAUCACCCCCAGCCCCAGAGGCAGGCUCCUGAGACAGACUGGCCAACAAGGAAGCCCUCUGAGCUCCUGCCCCUCCGGAGGCAAAAGGGCCGAGGAGGGGGAUUCAGACAAUUUCAGGCCCAGCUGCUUUUGUCUCUCCAGUCUUACCCUGUCAGGAGUUAACACCCCAUGGGAGUCAACUUAGGAGUCAUGCUUGUAUCUGUGAUCACGUGCAUGGCUGACUGC